UCCCUAGUGGCUCAGAUGGUAAAGUGUCUGCCUGCAGUGCAGGGAACCCAGGUUCAAUCCCUGGGUUGGGAA
rnacentral:tRNA from 1 species